rnacentral:rRNA from 1 species
AUUGAACGCUGGCGGCAGGCCUAACACAUGCAAGUCGAACGGUAACAGGAAGAAGCUUUCUUGUUUGCUUACGAGUGGCGGACGGUUGAGGAAGGUCUGGGAAACUGCCGGAUGGAGGGGGAUAACUACUGGAAACGGUAGCUAAUACCGCAUAACGUGGCAAGACCAAAAGGAGGUUCUUCAGGGCGCGGCCCCUCGGCUGUGCGCAGGUGGGAUUAGCUAGUAGGUGGGGUAACGGCACACCUAGGCGACGAUGCCUAGCUGGUCUGAGAGGAUGACCAGCCACACUGGAACUGAGACACGGUCCAGACUCCUACGGGAGGCAGCAGUGGGGAAUAUUGCCCAAUGGGCGCAAGCCUGAUGCAGCCAUGCCGCGUGUAUGAAGAAGGCCUUCGGGUUGUAAAGUACUUUCAGAGGGGAGGAAGGGAGUAAAGUUAAUACCUUUGCUCAUUGACGUUACCCGAAGAAGAAGCACCGGCUAACUCCGUG